rnacentral:rRNA from 1 species
CCUGCGGAGGGAUCAUUACCGAGUUUACAACUCCCAAACCCCUGUGAACAUACCUUAAUGUUGCCUCGGCGGAUCAGCCCGCGCCCCGUAAAACGGGACGGCCCGCCAGAGGACCCAAACUCUAAUGUUUCUUAUUGUAACUUCUGAGUAAAACAAACAAAUAAAUCAAAACUUUCAACAACGGAUCUCUUGGUUCUGGCAUCGAUGAAGAACGCAGCAAAAUGCGAUAAGUAAUGUGAAUUGCAGAAUUCAGUGAAUCAUCGAAUCUUUGAACGCACAUUGCGCCCGCUGGUAUUCCGGCGGGCAUGCCUGUUCGAGCGUCAUUUCGACCCUCAAGCCCCCGGGUUUGGUGUUGGGGAUCAGCUCUGCCUUCUGGCGGCGCCGCCCCCGAAAUACAUUGGCGGUCUCGCUGCAGCCUCCAUUGCGUAGUAGCUAACACCUCGCAACUGGAACGCGGCGCGGCCAUGCCGUAAAACCCCAACUUCUGAAUGUUGACCUCGGAUCAGGUAGGAAUACCCGCUGAACUUAAGCAUAUC